CAACAACACGAGUGUGGUCUAGCCGCAACGCAAGUACGUUGAGAAGAUCGUUGAUUAGAUCAGGAUGCUCUUGCAAGUAGAAGUGGACAGCCUUGUAAUACAAUUCAACAUUCGCUACCUUCGCAACAAUGUCUUUGAAUUGCAUGUGCUCCCAUGCUUCAGGAGAAUGGUUCAUGACAGUGGUCGCAGCAUUAUCAAACUCAUCAUAUUGAAUGUACAGAUAGGUAAGUUCCUGCCAGUGCUGUUGUUCAUCACAAGCCCGUAUAAGCUUGGGAAUAUUGAGGCGAGUUGAAAAUAACUUGAUGUGUUCCAUAAGUUUCUC
rnacentral:lncRNA from 1 species